rnacentral:misc_RNA from 1 species
GUGAGUCAUCGAAUCUUUGAACGCACAUUGCGCCCCUUGGUAUUCCAUGGGGCAUGCCUGUUCGAGCGUCAUUUGUACCUUCAAGCUUUGCUUGGUGUUGGGUGUUUGUCUACACAAUUUGUUGAGACUCGCCUCAAAACAAUUGGCAGCUAGUGUAUUAGUCUUGGAGUGCAGCACAAUGCUAUUCAUACUAACGGUCACUGGCAUCCAUGAAGCCUUACAACACGCUUGACCUCGGAUCAGGUAGGGAUACCCGCUGAACUUAAGCAUAUCAAUAAGCGGAGGA